GACGGGUGAGUAACACGUGGAUAACCUACCUAUAAGACUGGGAUAACUUCGGGAAACCGGAGCUAAUACCGGAUAAUAUUUUGAACCGCAUGGUUCAAAAGUGAAAGACGGUCUUGCUGUCACUUAUAGAUGGAUCCGCGCUGCAUUAGCUAGUUGGUAAGGUAACGGCUUACCAAGGCAACGAUGCAUAGCCGACCUGAGAGGGUGAUCGGCCACACUGGAACUGAGACACGGUCCAGACUCCUACGGGAGGCAGCAGUAGGGAAUCUUCCGCAAUGGGCGAAAGCCUGACGGAGCAACGCCGCGUGAGUGAUGAAGGUCUUCGGAUCGUAAAACUCUGUUAUUAGGGAAGAACAUAUGUGUAAGUAACUGUGCACAUCUUGACGGUACCUAAUCAGAAAGCCACGGCUAACUACGUGCCAGCAGCCGCGGUAAUACGUAGGUGGCAAGCGUUAUCCGGAAUUAUUGGGCGUAAAGCGCGCGUAGGCGGUUUUUUAAGUCUGAUGUGAAAGCCCACGGCUCAACCGUGGAGGGUCAUUGGAAACUGGAAAACUUGAGUGCAGAAGAGGAAAGUGGAAUUCCAUGUGUAGCGGUGAAAUGCGCAGAGAUAUGGAGGAACACCAGUGGCGAAGGCGACUUUCUGGUCUGUAACUGACGCUGAUGUGCGAAAGCGUGGGGAUCAAACAGGAUUAGAUACCCUGGUAGUCCACGCCGUAAACGAUGAGUGCUAAGUGUUAGGGGGUUUCCGCCCCUUAGUGCUGCAGCUAACGCAUUAAGCACUCCGCCUGGGGAGUACGACCGCAAGGUUGAAACUCAAAGGAAUUGACGGGGACCCGCACAAGCGGUGGAGCAUGUGGUUUAAUUCGAAGCAACGCGAAGAACCUUACCAAAUCUUGACAUCCUUUGACAACUCUAGAGAUAGAGCCUUCCCCUUCGGGGGACAAAGUGACAGGUGGUGCAUGGUUGUCGUCAGCUCGUGUCGUGAGAUGUUGGGUUAAGUCCCGCAACGAGCGCAACCCUUAAGCUUAGUUGCCAUCAUUAAGUUGGGCACUCUAAGUUGACUGCCGGUGACAAACCGGAGGAAGGUGGGGAUGACGUCAAAUCAUCAUGCCCCUUAUGAUUUGGGCUACACACGUGCUACAAUGGACAAUACAAAGGGCAGCGAAACCGUGAGGUCAAGCAAAUCCCAUAAAGUUGUUCUCAGUUCGGAUUGUAGUCUGCAACUCGACUACAUGAAGCUGGAAUCGCUAGUAAUCGUAGAUCAGCAUGCUACGGUGAAUACGUUCCCGGGUCUUGUACACACCGCCCGUCACACCUCGAGAGUUUGUAACACCCGAAGCCGGUGGAGUAA
rnacentral:rRNA from 1 species